rnacentral:rRNA from 1 species
GCAAGUCGAACGGCAGCACGGGUGCUUGCACCUGGUGGCGAGUGGCGAACGGGUGAGUAAUGCAUCGGAACGUACCCAUUAGAGGGGGAUAGCUCGGCGAAAGCCGAAUUAAUACCGCAUAUUAUCUAAGGAUGAAAGCGGGGGAUCUUAGGACCUCGCGCUAAGGGAGCGGCCGAUGUCAGAUUAGGUAGUUGGUAAGAUAAAAGCUUACCAAGCCGACGAUCUGUAGCUGGUCUGAGAGGACGACC